GCUCCCUUGGCCAAGAUGUAGCAAGAGGCCUGACUUACUCACCACCUUCUCUCUGCAGACUCGCCAGCCUUCUUGGACCUGCAAUCCACCUCACCCUCUGGCCUGAUUCUGCUCACCUCCCCCAGCCCUGAGUUAGUUACUUUGGUUUCCCUGCAAGAAAACUGGCUGUAUAUGCCGCUACCAGUGUAUGUUCAAGCAGCUUAAAAGAUAAUCACAAACAGAAAUAAGGCAGUACUGAAAGGCCUGUUCCAGUGGUACUCCCAAGCUCCUUUUGUAUAUCCAAAUGGGUCAGAGUCCUUGCAGAACAUCUAGAGUCUCCAAGCUCCUUGAUCUUUACUCAUCAACACUAAUAAGAGUGUUAUUGAAUGGUUCUUCUAUUGACUUGCCAGCCAGCAAGACGUAUAAUAAAUACCAUUUAAUUAUACAAAAAAUAUUUGGGGUUUAACAGUUAUGUAUCAAGAUGUACAUCUGCCACAUGGCUGUUAACCCUCAGUAACCAUGCUUAGAAUACUCAGCUGUUUUUCAUUUAAAGGAAUACUGCCAAUGUACAACAAUAUUUUUUUUUUCUCGAAUUCGUCACAAUCAUGAAUGAAAACAUCUUAGAUUGGCACAAAUGAAAAUAAUUUAAUAUCUCUGGUGUAUGCAUUUAUGCUGCAUUCUUCAGCCACUUCAAGAACCAUCCUUCUGCACUUUCCUCAGGUGGAGCAAUGAAAUUAGAAUAUAUACAUUUCCUCUCUUUUACAGUUGGUUUCACUUUCAUAUUCUUAUCAUGUUUAAUAUAAGAUGCACAACCACAAUGUGACUGUACUAUGGUUACUCUUACUGUGAUGAAGUUUGUAAAUCCUCCAAGUCUUGUUUUUAUUGCAGUUUUUUAAAAAAAAU